CUGUGCUAAAUGCUUCUCAGCUCCAGCUCAACGCACGCAGCGUACACGGGAGUGGUGGAUGUCCUCAUUCUGAUCUCCGGCAGACAAAGAAACAAGAUUUUCCCUCCAAAUCCUGCAGAAUUUUGUGAAAAUGGUGCUGAAAAGAAGUUGAAAACCGCAGAGGACCAGGCAAAGGUGGAGAUGGCAAGAUACAAGGAGGAAGCUCCCCUGCCACUUGUGAACAAUCCACUGGACUGGUGGGAAGAUCAUCAGAGCGAGUAUCCUCUCUUGUCACACGUUGCAAAGAGAUACCUGUGUAUCCGGGGGACUAGCGUCUCUUUGGAGAGUUUUUUCUACUGCAGGGGACAUUAUCACAGCACAGAGGAGUGCACUUUCCCCAGACCAUCUUGAUCAGAUUCCGUUCCUAAACCAAAAUCUGAAAAAGUAGGCCUGCCAAUGUAUCCAUUCAAGGGUUGGACUACAUGUUCUAUGUUUACAUCAUACUGACUGUUUGUUCCAUUCAUUUUGUUUAUAUAGGGUUAUAUAUAUUUAAUAUUAUAGAUUAUAUAUAUAUUUGAUAUGCACUAUGUUAUACAUUUCAGUUCUAUGUUAAGUUCCUGUGCAUAUGCACUUUAUUUUCUUUUUUAAAUGACAGUGUGUCCACUGCAGUGCUUUCA
rnacentral:lncRNA from 1 species